GGGGGCGGGAAGAGUGGGGGAUGCCAAGCCGGAGGGGGGAAGUUGUUUUCAGUGCCUUUCGGCAAAGGAGCCGCUUCGGUGAGAUUCAUCUCAACGCGAUUGUUGAGCGUGCUGCUCUCUACUCCGAACCUUCCCUUGUUUUCGCAACGGGCCCUUUCCGGCUUAUGUAGUGGUUGCCUCCGGCUAUUAUAUGGCGACGUUUCAUCUUCGCCUGCUUUUGCGAGUCUAGCCGGUCCGCUGAGUUUGAGGUUCGGGAGAGGCCAGGAUCUGGGAGCAACGUCUCUCAAUCUCAGAGCUGGGCGGACUUCAACUCCCAGAAUUCCCCAGCUGAAGAGCAUUUGGGCUGAGUUGACGUCCACGCAGCUCAAAGGCUCUGGAGAUUGAGAAAUAGUCUUUGAGAUUGAGAAAAUGAUUGCCUGGGGGUUGUUUGAGUAAACCGCACGGUUCGCUGAAAGCUGGCUACAAAAUGCCCCGUGCGAACUCUGCCAGGGUUGCCUCUGCCUCUGACUUCACCGGAUUUCUCUGCUUCCAAAAACUCGAAGUAAAAAAAAAAAAAAGCAAGAAAAGGGAUCCAGUGGGGUUUAGAGCCAAUCCUUCUUUCUCCAGUAUUUGAUGAUGAUGAUGUUGAUGAUGAUGAUGUAUAUAGCAUUUCGUCCUCCAGUUUUCCCCAGUGAGGUAGCUCGGGUGAGAGUCAGUGAAUAGUCAAAGGUCAAGCAAUGAACUUGGAUAAAUGAGAUGAUCUGAAGCCUUAUGGAAAAUCAGAAAUUAAAAUUCAAUCACUGGAAAACACUGUAAGAAUUAUUAGCAUAAAUAUACCAAAGGAAUUUCACCUAGAGAAAUGUGCUGCAGUAGCAAUAAAGCAAGAUAAAAUUGCAAACAGUAAUGGGAUUGAUACGCCAAAUGACCAAACCAUCAGGAACCAACAGGAUGAAACCUACAAGUAUUUUGGCAUGUUGCAGUUGGAUAACAUCAAGCAUGGACAAGUCAAAAACUGAUUAGUAAAGAAUACAUCCAAAUAGUGAGAAAAGUGCUAAAAACAAAAUGAAUAGGAGAAACAUCAUUAAAGCCUUCAACACCAUCCCAGGCCAUACCUGUUGCAAUGAUUAAUGGAACACAAGCUGAAAUGAACAGUAUGCACCAAAAAACAAGAAAACUGAUUAUUAUUCAGUAUGUAUUACACCCCUGUACCAAUAUUGAUAGAUUAAACCUACCUCACAGAAAUUAAGGCAGAGAUUCACUUUAGGUCUGUCAAAGAAGAAAAGUGUUCAUUAAUGCAAUUAAAAAUUGGAUUUUUUAUGUGCAGAUAGUUAAUGUACCUGUAAUGCACAGGAAACAAAAAAUAAAUAUCAAAAUGCUGUAAUAAAAACAUAAAUGCUAUUAAAUAAAAUUAUGACAUGGUCAAUUUCUACAAACAACUGGGAGAUAAAGAGUAAAGCUUACAAUAGUUUAUAACUGGAAAAUUAAACAUUAAAAAAAGAAAUUGAAGGUUUGAGUUUGGCUGCAAAAGAGCAAGGUAUCUGAACUAAUGUAAUGGCCAGAAUUCAAAAAUUAUCAAAUGAUUCAAAGUGCAUAUUGUGCUAAUAGGCAGUGGAAACAGCUUUUUUUCCAGUACAUGUAUUUAUUUAUUUAUUAUUUAUUUAUUAAUCAUACUUAUAUACCGCACCAUCUCCCGUAGGACUCAGGGUGGUUCACAGGCAUAUUAAAACAAUAUAAUAAAUAAGCAUUAAAACCCAGUUAAGACUAAAUAUUAUCAUGGCCUGAUCACUAAAACAGUUAAAACCAGUAAAAACCCCAUUAAAAUUUUGCUAAAACAUUUUAUUCUUAGGCUAGUCCAGCGCGCUGAAAUAAUAGAGUCUUCAGUUCACGUCUGAAGGUCCGGAGGUCAAACAGAUUAAGGCUAUAUCAUAUAACAUGUGGCUGCCUAGUUUGUGGUUCAGGAUAUCACCAAAGACAACCAGCAAUCAGCUGGAAUUUAACUCUGAUUUAACUAGCAAAGAGUAAAAAACAGAAUUGUGGUGGAUAUAGAACUAUUCUUAAAUAGUAAAAUAUUUUUAUUACUAAAAACAAAAGGAUUAAAGAAUGCGAAAUUAAAGUUACCAAAAACACACUUAAAUAUAGAUAAUAAAUAAUAAACAGGACAAGAAUUUGGAAAGGACAAGAGGACAAGAAUUUGGAAACAAAAUUUAAAGGUUCCUGAAUCUGCAUACUUGAAGUGCAACAUUAAGCAUUAUUGAGUCUUGACUUACAGAAGACACUAAGCAGAAUGAAGUAAGACUCUAUAACUUUAUAAGGUUUAUACGUAGACUAUAUUUUUUACAUUUUUGAUGGCCUUCAGAGGCCCCUAUUUAGUCUAUUGUAUUGUUCUAAUAAUGAAGGUUUUUAUAGAGAUGUUUUAGUAUUCUAAUUUUAUAGUAGUGUGUUAACUACCCUAUCUUUUAAUUAUUUUAUUCCAGUGGUAUUAUUAGAAU